GUUAUAUGAUGUUUGCUGGAGUUUGUCCCAAUUGGAGCCACUGGCGAAGGUGUUGCCGCUGCCGGAAGCCAACGCUGGGCUAUUGCUGGUUCUGAUUCUAUUAUCUUGGGCUGUUUUCUGCCCUUGACUACAUUAGAUUCAAAUUCUUGUUCUGCUGCAACCAUUAUCAUUGCCACGAAAUUAAAGCCGUUGCUGUUCCAGUUGACGCGGUGUCCUUGAUUGCAUUAGGAUUGUUGUCACUACUGUAAAUUAGAAACGAAACGGGGGCAGUUGUGUUCAAAUUCUGCAAUUGCGACAUCGAGAUAGGAGGUUUAAAACGAUUUCAAUUUAAGAGUGCCUACAAGGUUUAUUGAAUAACUGCAAAUAGGAUUAAUAGCUGUGAGUAAUUGAUUGAUUAUGUAAUUAUUGAUUUGUGGCUGAAAUUGUGAUUGGAAUGGUUGAGAUUGUGAUUUGAAAUUGUUGAUUUGUGAUAUUGAUUGAUUAUGUGGAUUGGGAAUUGUUUGAUGACUAAUUGCUGAGAAUUUCCAAAUUUUAAUGGGUUAUGUUGGAUUUGUCGCCGUUGAGUUGUUAUUUGGUAUAUUGUAAUGUUAAUGAACUUGGUUGGUGGUUGAUUUGGAAUUGAUUUUGAGGGGUUUUGAAGGGUUGGAUUUUGAAUACUAAAUAGAUUGCUGAAAAACUGAUUUUUGAAAUUAAAAUGUGACUUUGUAAGUGAAUCAGUUAUUCAACGAUAAUCGAAAUGAUAUAAGAGCAAAGGCUGAGUAAAGUAUAAUAAAAGUUGUUGUUGGGACUCAAUUUUGAGAAGUUUGAAUUAAUUAUAGAACUAGUUAUGAUUUUU